UAUGGCUGGGCAGAGAAAGGUAUAUAAGGUGUGAGGAGACAGGAACUAAAGUGCUUUUCAGCUAAAGCCUUUUCUGCAGAAGCCCUUUUUGGCUGAUGCCUUUCGGCUAGAGAGCUUUUUUGGUGGAGGACUCAGAGACUUUCAAACAGAGGACUCAAGGAGUUGGUGAGGACUGAAAGGUAUGAAGAUCCGUGGAAAGAGGCAUGUCAGAGAAUAAGCCGAAGCGUUCUGUUAUUUUAUAACAUUAGAUCUUCUUCCCUGUCAAACCUGUCACUUGUGUCCUGACUGUGGCUGAGAUGAUGAGAACAAAAUGGAAAUAAAGACAUGGAAUGCAGGCACUGGGAAUUCAAGAAAGAAUCAAUUUGAAAGGAAGGAAGAUAAUUAGGAAUUAUGGUGUGAUCAUAGCAAAGCAGAGACGUCCCAGCAAAGGACUGGAAAGGAUCUCAUUGUACUUGUGCUUUCCGAGAGACGAGGAGAGGACCAACAAUAUAAAUAAUGGAAGCCUCUUUAUGGAAUGGCUGUGCUUAUUUCAAUACGGAGACUGUCCUUGCACCUAAUAUUGCCAGGUGCCAACUGAAGCGAAGGACCACAGUGCUGCUUGGACCUGUUCCUCACUGAGGUUCCAUUCCAUUUUCAAUAGCCUCAGUUUCAACCAGUUUGCCUAAAAUCGCUGAAAUUAAAACAUUCAGUAGAUAUUCUGUUAGUGACACAAAUUGAUUGGCACAAUAUGUCCUUAAAUGAGUCUUAAAGGCUUUAAACUUUUCUUAUUUGGCGUUCAAUUUUUACGAGACUGACGUAUAUCUUGUAUUUCCUUAUUUAUUGUUGAGGUAGUCUUGGUAGCUAGUUAUUGGACAAAUAUCAUCCGUGCCUCAUACAGGAUGAACGAGAGGAGGGGAAUUAAACACUCAGCAGCAGCAGCUUGGCUCAACUCAUGCCAUAGUUAGUGCACAAUUCCUGAUUAUCAGUGUAGCUAUUUUUCUAGAUAAAUAUAGGCCUAUAUUUGAAAACAUUCAUUUUGAUAAAUGUGUCUAUCUAUUACAAUACAAUGCUCAUUUGGGCUGAGCUGGUAAAGUAGCACUUUAAAGGUGAUUAUUAUGUUAUCAAGACACACAAUAUUGUUUAUCUUUCAGAGAAUUCUGUCCU